rnacentral:rRNA from 1 species
GAUUAACGCUGGCGGCGUGCAUAACACAUGCAAGUCGAACGGUGAGACUUAGUAGACUUCUUCUGAAAGACACGAAGCGGAUUAGUUGAGAACGGGGGAGUAACGCGUGAGUAUCCUGCCUUACACAAGGGGCUAGCCUUUGGAAACGAAAAAUAAUACCCUAUAAUACCAUAAAUGCACAAGCUUGAAUGGUCAAGGAGAUAGCGGUGUAAGAUGGACUUGCGUCUGAUUAGCUGGCUGGUGAGAUCAAAGCUCACCAAGGCAACGAUCAGUAGCCGGCUUGAGAGAGUGGACGGCCACCUUGGGACUGAGACACGGCCCAGACUCCUACGGGAGGCAGCAGUGGGGAAUUUUGCACAAUGGGGGAAACCCUGAUGCAGCGACGCCGCGUGAUUGAGAAGGCCUUCGGGUUGUAAAAAUCUUUUGUAUAGGAAGAAAAUGACAGUACUAUACGAAUAAGGUCCGGCUAAUUACGUG